AACGUAGGGGGCCAGCGUUGCUCGGAAUUACUGGGCGUAAAGGGUCCGUAGGCGGUGUGGCAAGUCGGAAGUGAAAUCUCUGGGCUUAACCCAGAGGCUGCUCCCGAAACUGCUAUGCUAGAGUGCGAGAGAGGCGAGUGGAAUUGCGGGUGUAGCGGUGAAAUCCGUAAAUAUACGAAGGAACGCCAAAAGCGAAGGCAGCUCUCUGGGUCCCUACCGACGCUGGGGUGCGAAAGCAUGGGGAGCGAACAGG
rnacentral:rRNA from 1 species